GCACCCGUGGUGAAAUUGGCAUACACGCUAGAUUCAGGUUCUAGUGGCCUCACGGCCGUGGAGGUUCAACUCCUCUCGGGUGCA
rnacentral:tRNA from 3 species